GAGGGAAAGGCGAAAAGAACCCCGGCGAGGGGAGUGAAAAAGAACCUGAAACCGUGUACGUACAAGCAGUAGGAGCCCCAUCACUCAAGUGCCUCGCACUGAGUGAUGCAAGAACAUCACCGAAAAUAGCGCCGAAUUUGCUAACAAGAUUGGUCGAUUUUUUCAAGCCGUCGCGCAGUGUACCUAGAAGUACACGAGCAACGGAAGUUAAAAAAUCGGGCAAGAUUGAACGCAAAGGCAAGCGGGACAUUUGAGGAUGGGGUGACUGCGUACCUUUUGUAUAAUGGGUCAGCGACUUAUAUUCUGUAGCGAGGUUAACCGUAUAGGGGAGCC
rnacentral:rRNA from 1 species